CGUAAUCUCCGCUACGAGCCGCCACUGUGUUAUCGACGAACCGGGUGGCAGGUCGUGUCAAUUACAAGACAGUCGGGCUUUUACCUUCCAAGUAAUGCGAACUACGCCUAACCUAAAAACGGGUUAGAGGAUUAAUUUUUUACUUUUAAACAAUACGACUCAACGGCUGGAACUGGAAUUGUUGUAUCCCCGAAUAACGCCGAUGAGCGGCAGACUCGAAGCGCUCCUCCGUGUCGGAACGCAAGAUAAAGUGCCGAUGAGGAAUCGAUCGGCGUAAAAAGAAAAAAAAUAGGAAAAAAAACAGAAAGAAGGUUAGAAAGCGACGAGCAACCGUACACAGAGAGAAAAGCGAGAACGAAGUACACGAUUAAUUAUCUAACAUCGCGCGUUGAAGUUUUCCCGAUGACGACGCCAAGGCGAGAAAAGCGGGACAUGUCGCCCAACCGAUCGCCAUUUCGUCACUGUUUCAUUGAGAUAUUAGAAUACAUCACACAAAACAUUCGGCGAUCGGUGUGAAAUUUACCAGAUGGGAGAACUCGCUGCGUUUCAACAACAUCUGAAGAUUCGCGCGCUCGUGGGGAAUAAGAUAUGUUUUUUCAACGGUGCGACGUGCGCGCGCGAGAAGCGCAGUCGCGUUUGAUUUAUUUACCGAGCCACGACUGUGCCGGACACGUGACACGGUGGCACGUGGCCACGGUGAUAUUUCCUCGCGCAGGUAACAGUCCGGAGGAGUUGCGAACGGCGUCGAUACCAUCCGCUGGGAGUUGCGGAACGGUGCUGCCGACCAUAACGACCUUGAACUUGGAUCCGCCGCGACGGUUGCGAGAAGAGAACCGUAACGAAUUUCAUUAAGGCCGCAAUGCGUUCGACCGCAUCUCGUUCCGCUUCCGAUUACCGAAAUCCGCGGGCGCGACGUCGCAUGAGCGGUACUCCCGUCCGCACGCUCUUCUUGCGCGUUGCCGCGCCUCUCCGAAUCGGAAACGUGAUCACUCGGCGUUUUCUACGUGUGCAAAUAGAUCAUUCUGAAAGUCAAUGAAGGGCAAAUUUUACAUUUUGGAGAACAGAAAAGUUACAUUAUGGAACCUAAAAUUGACUUUAAACUCGGUUUUAGGCGCAUAUUUAGAUACAAUGAAGU